GACGAACGCUGGCGGCGCGCUUAACACAUGCAAGUCGAGCGAAGCGGCGGACGGGUGAGUAACACGUGAGUAACCUGCCUUAGACAUUGGGAUAGCCUCGGGAAACCGGGAUUAAUACCAAAUGGUCUAAGAUGGACUCGCGUCCCAUUAGCUAGUUGGUGAGGUAACGGCCCACCAAGGCGACGAUGGGUAGCCGGCCUGAGAGGGUGAACGGCCACAUUGGAACUGAGAAACGGUCCAAACUCUACGGGAGGCAGCAGUGGGGAAUAUUGCACAAUGGGCGGAAGCCUGAUGCAGCGACGCUGCGUGGGGGAUGAAGGCCUUCGGGUUGUAAACUCCUUUCGACAGGGACGCGGUACCUGUAUAAGAAGCACCGGCUAACUACGUGCCAGCAGCCGCGGUAAUAC
rnacentral:rRNA from 1 species